CGAAAGCCUGACGGAGCAACGCCGCGUGUGGGAAGAAGGCCUUUGGGCUGUCAACCACUUUUCUCAGGGAAGAAGUUCUGACGGUACCUGAGGAAUCAGCCUCGGCUAACUCCGUGCCAGCAGCCGCGGUAAUACGGAGGAGGCAAGCGUUAUUCGGAAUUAUUGGGCGUAAAGCGUCCGCAGGGGGCUCAUCAAGUCUGCUGUCAAAGGUCGGAGCUCAACUCCGGUUCGGCAGUGGAAACUGGUGGGCUAGAGGGCGACAGGGGUAGAGGGAAUUCCCAGUGUAGCGGUGAAAUGCGUAGAGAUUGGGAAGAACACCGGUGGCGAAAGCGCUCUACUGGGCCGUGACUGACCCUGAGGGACGAAAGCUAGGGGAGCG
rnacentral:rRNA from 1 species